rnacentral:lncRNA from 1 species
CAUCCAUGUCAUCAUCUACAUGAUCAACAUCUGCAUUAUUAUCUGUAUCUCCCACAUCAGGCUGCUCGUCAUCCUCUGACUCAAUAUCCAAAUCACGCUACUGUCUCUCCUCAUCAGUAGGCACAUCAUCAUCAAUUGGUUCAACAAACUCUGGCCCUAUCCGCAGCAACAUCCUGGCAUGAUGACGUGGAGGGUAAUCUAACUCCACUACACGAUUCUUUUGCUCCAUUACCGAUGUCCCUCCUACCCGCAGCUGUAGCAUUUGCAAUCCCUACAUUCUUGUAGUAAUAUCAUUUGUCUAAGCUUGACACGCAUACAUAG